rnacentral:rRNA from 1 species
UACGUAGGGUGCAAGCGUUAAUCGGAAUUACUGGGCGUAAAGCGUGCGCAGGCGGUUCGCUAAGACCGAUGUGAAAUCCCCGGGCUUAACCUGGGAACUGCAUUGGUGACUGGCGGGCUAGAGUAUGGCAGAGGGGGGUAGAAUUCCACGUGUAGCAGUGAAAUGCGUAGAUAUGUGGAGGAACACCGAUGGCGAAGGCAGCCCCCUGGGUCAAGACUGACGCUCAUGCACGAAAGCGUGGGGAGCAAACAGG